CUUGUAUUGUUGAUUAAGGCAGGACAUGAAUGCCUUGUAUUUGCUGCAUUUUUGAUAUCCUUGAUUUCCUAAGAGGACACCGCACCCUGGGAAAAAAGAGAGGCUGGCUGGAGCAGCAGGCAGCACACGCCAUUAGAGGCAGCUCUCGGUAGCAGUGGCCUUUCCGGCAGCUGGCGUCAUUAUAGGAAGAAAUGGUUUCUAAUUGUGCUAUUGAUUUUUCUCCCUCUUUAAUGGAUUAUUCUCCCAACACACUCUAAGUUGAGACACUACCACAUACCACAGGCAUGUUGCCAGGGAUGUAUGUAAAACUAUGCAUUGCACGCACAUGGAGCUUUUCCCUGUGUCUUACUCAGCAGGUGGAAAACCCCAGGAAAAGGGAUCUCGACAGCCGUGGGUGAGCAUGUGCUUACUCCAAGUGCAGCCUGGGAGCAAGUAUCAAAGUAUAGAGCCUUCAAAAGUGCUCUGGAUUCCAUUACAAAGAAAAUCAUGAAUAAUGCAUCCCCACCUCCUGCUUUUAUUUAAUCUCAAUCAGUGAGAGCUAGAAGUGCAUUACUGUGUCCAGCUGCAUCCCUGGCUCCGGAGGCUGGAACCUGGGGCUGAGGGACCCACAAGCCCCACAGGUGCUGUGCACCGCAGAGCCAGUUAACCAGCAAUCCUGCUCAAGCCCCGGGAGACUGUAGCACCAAGGGCUCAACCCUUCCGGAUGUCUGGCUUGCCAUGGAUGGUUCCUAUACCUAGGGAGCUGCAGAACCUACUUUGAAACUGACACAGCCUGUGUAUCCCGGGGUUACAUCUCCCUUUCUCUGUUUUAAUAAAGCUGUAUUCCUAAUAAAAGGAACAAACAGCCUAUCCCACAUGCUGAAAGAUCAUGACGAGAAGUCUGCCCAGUCUGUUAUGAUUCGAUGUCCCAUAAGCUAAGUCCCUCUGCACUCGUGCACAUUGAGCACGAAAUAUAGGCAAAUUGUUAUUUCUGUCCAUCAAGAGCAAAUUAUGAUGAUAGCUGGCUUUUGAAUGUUAGAAACUAUAGUGUUUUUCAUUUCUGGGAGCACAUCUUGUGUGUCACUAUGUGCUAUGCCUUUAUGUUAAAUAACAUGUUUAUGCUGGGAUACAAAACAGUACGAUGGCCACAUAAAAAAGACUUCAUAAGGUACAUACAUAUGUCAUAUAUCAACAUAUUUUAAUUAGUGUAAGUUCAACAUAUAGAAAAAACAGCUACUCUUGGCUGGAUGUGGUGACUGACUCCUGUAAUCCCAGCACUUCAGGAGGCCAAGGCGGGUGGAUCGCUUGAGCGUAGGGGUUCGAGACCAGCCUGGGCAACAUGACGAAACCCCCUCUCUAUAAAAACAAUUAGCCAGGUGUGGUGGUACACGCUUGUAGUCCCAGCCACUCUGGAAGCUGAAGAGAAAGGAUCAUUUAAGCCCAGAAGGUCAAGGCUGCAGUGAGCCAAGAUCACACCACUGCACUCCAGCCUGGGCCCCAGAGUGAGACCCUGUCUCAAAAUUAAAUAAUUAAUAAAUAAAAUAAACAAAAAGAAACAGCUACUUUUUGUAAUUUGGAAUCAGAAGUUUUAUAUAAGAUAACACUUUUGAAAUAAUCAGGAAUGUAAAUUUAUGUAAAUUUAGCUGGGACUCUGUGUUAACAUCUUUUUCGUUGUGCCUAUUUUUCAUGUUUUGCCAUGCUAACAUUUGCUAUGUGCCCACACACACACGUGCAAUUCUUUUCUACUCUAUUAGCCUCUGGUUCUGUAUGUUUCCAUCAUUAACUGAAGCAUUUGCAGAACGAAAUGGAGGUUUAGCACUUUGAGAGUUGUUUUAUUUUUACAACCUUGGCAAAGCAAGUGUCAUUGAUUAAAUGUCUG
rnacentral:lncRNA from 10 species